rnacentral:rRNA from 1 species
CACGUAGGGUGCGAGCGUUGUCCGGAAUUAUUGGGCGUAAAGAGCUCGUAGGCGGUGUGUCGCGUCGGCCGUGAAAACCUGUGGCUUAACUGCGGGCUUGCGGUCGAUACGGGCAUCACUGGAGUUCGGCAGGGGAGACUGGAAUUCCUGGUGUAGCGGUGAAAUGCGCAGAUAUCAGGAGGAACACCGAUGGCGAAGGCAGAUCUCUGGGCCGUAACUGACGCUGAGGAGCGAAAGCAUGGGGAGCGAACAGG